rnacentral:rRNA from 1 species
UACGUAGGGGGCUAGCGUUGUCCGGAAUCAUUGGGCGUAAAGAGCGCGUAGGCGGCCAGAUAAGUCCGGUGUGAAAGUCAAAGGCUCAACCUUUGAAUGCCGCUGGAAACUGUCUGGCUAGAGUCCGGGAGGGGCGAGUGGAACUCCUGGUGUAGCGGUGAAAUGCGCAGAUAUCAGGAGGAACACCAAUGGCGAAGGCAGCUCGCUGGAACGGUACUGACGCUGAGGCGCGAAAGCGUGGGGAGCAAACAGG